UUCUUUAGGUUGUCAUUCUCAUUGUUGUGUUGUCUGCUGCAAAUAAACUUUAGUGCAGAAAAUAUAAACAUUGAGCGAUGACGGCAGCCUUUUCAUAUGUUUUGCUUCUUGUGUUUGCAGUAGUAAGAGCAGGAGUCCCACACAAUCUUGUUUCAAAGUGCAAAGGUGGUAAAAGCGUUCACGGACAGGUAUUUAAGAAUAUAGAUGGCGAAGAAGUGAAAAUGUCAAAAUAUAAAGGAAGUGUGGUCCUCGUUGUCAAUGUCGCAACAUUUUGUGGCUACGCAACGCAAUAUAUUGAAAUGAAUGCAUUGUUAGAAAAGACUCUAAAACAGAAAUUAGAAAUCAUCGGAUUUCCUUGUAAUCAAUUUAGUCAUAUGGAACCUGGUUUAAAUAAAUCAGAAAUUCUGAACGGUCUCAAACAUGUUCGUCCUGGAAAUGGUUUUGUUCCUAAAAUUGAUAUGAUGGAGAAAGCUGAUGUCAAUGGUAAAAACGAGCUUCCUCUUUUCACUAUUCUGAAGGAUUUAUGUCCUUCGCCACGUAAUGCAAAAUACGAUAAGAUGAAAUGUACCUGGAAUCCUAUCACUCCGCGAGACAUCAUGUGGAAUUUUGAAAAAUUCGUUAUCGAUGCCGAUGGAGUUCCGAUUUUCCGAUAUUUACCGAUUACAACACCAAGUGCCAUCAUUGAUUCACUAAAAGAGCAGUCAAUCCUAUAACUAACUCCUGUAUAAUUCAAAGUGAAAGAAUACAGUAACCGUUCAAAUGCAGAUUGUCGAUGAAAUAAGUGGCAAAGGAUUUCAAACAUUGGUGCGAAAGCACAGAUUAGAGGAGAUUGAAGAGAGGAUUAACUUGGUCAUAGUACUUAUUUUAUUGAACCUGGUUCUGAUUUGUGCGCGAGUAAUAUCCACCUCACCGAAAAACCAGCCUACUGGGAAAUACACAUGCAGUGUACCGUAUGUGGUCGACGAUGUUUAUUACACUAGUGCUACUUCUAUUUCCUAUUUGAAAUAAUUUUUAUUUGAAUGAUUUACUACUCCUACAGUUAUAUUCAAUAUUAUGUGAUAAACUAAACAAACAAAAGUCCUGUUGCUCCCGAGCUCUUAGUUUAAAUAUGUUUUUAUGACACCUAGUCUUUCGUAUUAGCUAUUUAGUGUUUCUUAUAACCCGCAAGUGUCCCCGUAAUUGUAUUGAAUAAAACUGAGUUACAUAUAAUUUGAAAGAGAA